AACUUGCUAUUGGUUAAUGGCAGUAAAGCCCUCCCAUCAGCGCUGGUCUGCUCCUUUAAAAGAACGCCAUCGACGCUCCCCUGUCUUUCAGCGCCUGCAGGUUCCGGGAGCUCCCAGCCGAGGACGUCGGAUGUCAUCGUCCUUGCUGCUUUGCCACCCCAUUCCCGUCAAUAAAGUGGUUUGAACCCAA